rnacentral:ncRNA from 1 species
UACCCGAAAAGGCAACCCAGCACUAAUUCUCUGAGAAAAUUAGUGCUGGGACGCAAAACUACGGUUCGCUCAGUGGUGUGCGAAGGCCGAGUUGCCGAU